GUAGCAUAUUAGACAAAGAAAAGAGCAUAUAAUUCCAGCCACAGCAUCAUGGAAGACAUCACGAAGGAACAGAGAUCCUUGAAGUAGAAAAGGCUUUGUCAAGGCCAAUGGGUAGAAAGGCAGGAGCAACAGGGUUAAAGUUGAUAAAUUUGGGGUGACAUGCAGAUUUUAAGAUACAAACAAUACAUUUUUGUGGGCAAAACAUAAAGAAUUUGGAAAAUUAAGGCUGGAAACCAGGGGAAGGGGUGGGAAUUUUAAAAGUAGAAAAGUCUUAUGCAAAAAAAAAAAAGAGUUGAUACUAUGGAAGUAAAUGAACCAAAAUUAUUCAGUAUAGAGAGGGAGGAAGAGGGGGAGUGGAGAUGAAUGCAAGAGAGAGCAAGGGAUUCCUAUAUUUAACAAUCUGGCUAGAAAAGGGACAUCCCUAAGGAAGUGUGUGAGUGGUCAUGAAACGCAGAACAUCCCAGCUAGGAUGUGCAGAUGGAGAGGGCAGCAGAAGGCGCCCCUGAGACUGUUUUCACAAGCAUAUCUAGACUCAAUCAUUAGCUGGGGUGAAGAGUUCUUCCAAACUUUAAGCCAUGUUGUUGUUUGAGAUUUACUACAAAUACAGUGUUCUGCCUGCAUCUCUCCAGAAGGCAGUGGGGUGAGCUUAAUGAUUUUUUUUUCUGUCUAUAUGAUGUAUUUCCUGUGGUCUACACUUUUCCCAUCUUCAGCUGAAGAGCUAGGUGUGUGAAACAGAGAAAGACACACAGUGAACCUUUAAAUAUAUUGCUGCCAAUUGUGGUAACACGUGAGAACUACCUUCUUGGAAGCAAAAUAUGAAGUAAAUCAAAACAUCAUUGAGUAAGCAGCUGGAUUCCGGCUGCAGCUUUUACCAGCUGAGCUCACACGUAGACCUCAGUAGCAGAGGUAAUAAGAAAAUCGAUCUAUUUGGGGAUAAUAUAAGCUGUCAUAGAAUUAUACUGCUUAAGUCUGGGUCAAGUCAUGGGUGGAAAUGGAAAUGUUUUUCCUUAAAAGGGCAUAAGAAAUUCUCUAGGGGACACAAUAACCAACAGACAGCUGCACUGUGCCAAAGUUUGGGUCUGGUUUCUUCUUAACUAUGAACAUAACACAUGUUAUUUGUUUGUUUAGGUUUGUGUUUUGUAAUGGUGUUGUUGUUGUUGGAUUCUUUGUUUGGUUUGGUUUUGUUGUUAAGUCUCAAUAUGUGGUUCUUGCUGGGUUAGAAUAUGCUGUGCAAACCAGGCUGACUUCAAACUCUGAAGAUCCUCUUGCCUCUGCUUCUUGAAUGUUGGGAUUAAAGGCAUGAACCACUACACCCUUCCACAUAUUGUGGGGUUUGUUUUGUUUUUUAUUUAGUUUGUCUUCCAUUUGUUUGCUUAUCUCUAGUAGGGUCUUUUGUAGCCCAGGCUGACUUCAAAUUUGCUGUGUAACUGAGGAUGACCUUGAACUCCUGUAUCUGCCUCCCAAGUGCUGAGAUUAAAUUUUUCCUUUAUCUUAUUUCUUAUUCAUAAAUAGAUGAUAUGCACAGAUUCUGCUACAGAAACAAAAUUUUUAUAGGAAGCAUGUGUGGUCGCACAAGUCCAUUACCCCAGCACUGGAGAUGUUGAGGCAGGAGGAUCAUAAGUUUGGAUUACGUAGGAAUUUUGAGACCAUUUGAAGUACAUAGUGACAUCCUAUAGAAGAAGAGGAGCAGGAGGAGAAAGGAAGUUGUUUGCACAAAAGAAACUUACACAUCCUUUGGAGUAGCAAAGUUUAUGUCCUUACUGGGCCUCGUAGCCCAGUCCCUGUGGAAACAGUAGCUCAUCACAACUGAAAGAGAGCCUUGGGUUCACGCAGGACAUCUGAAGGCACACACAGAAGCAUAACUAAUCUGUUUUUUAAAAUAUUGCCCAACAGAGUUUAGGUUCACCAACUCUGGUCAGCUAACAACAGUAGACUAAUAGAAAGUCAACGAAGCCAAACAGGAAGUUUGCUCUUUUCUACUCUGCUAGAUAGUCUUAAAUCACUUUGCUGGCAGACACUACACAGGUCUGGAUUGUGCUAGGCUGGCAAUGUCAUAUACGCUUUCGAUAACAUCUGUUGGUGUUUUCUAAUAUCGUGAGCAGGCAACUGCUGAUGCAGUUGCGUGAAUAAUGUGCCUUUGGCAGAAGUGAGACUCAUGAGAGAAUUACACCUGAGUUAAUCUUACUUUAGAAGUUUGAGGAUAUUGCAUCAAGUUUUAAUCCGAAGCACAAGAUCAAGGGAUGGCACUCGGUGCUGACCAGUCUAUAAAAGUUAAGCUUUUAACAAAACAAUCACCCUGCCUGAGCCUCCCACGCACUGGGUUUGUAGUACCACACCACUGCCAUACCCAGUUCUCUCAUACCUUUCUUCAUGUGUGUUGGUCAUUUACAGAUUUAUUAACUACCAAAUGGGAGGAUCUUCUAGUAAUCUUUCUUACUGAUGAUUUUGAACUUAAUGUAUCCCUAUCAAAGAAGACACAACACUGGUUUCAAUCUUUGGGAAUGUAUCAGAUUGGCUUUCUGAGCCAUCAUUUUGCCAGCGUUAGUAAGGAUUCCCUAUGUAUUUGACAGGAAUGUGUGUGUUAUUGUCUAGGGUUUAGGGUCUACAUAUGGCCAUUACGUCAAGUCUGUAGCUCAUAUUAUCCCCAGCAUCUAUGUCCUCACUGGUGUCUUCACUCUUGUAGUCUAGUUACUGAGAUAUCUAAAAUAUCCUACUGCUCAUGUGUUUUCCUAAGUAUCCUACUCUUUCCAUUUCUGUCUUAUAUAUUGUUUGGCCUUAUGCUGUCUUCUUCUGAUUCUCUAUUUUGUAGAAGGCCAGGACCCAGAAGAUGCCCAAACUAUCUUGUGAAAGGCCUAGCAAGAUUUCAAAAUUUGACAGUUGAAUUCAUCAACAGGAAUAGAUCACCAUUUCCACCAACAAUACCACUGGGAUUUUUAUAGUUAGAUAACAUGAGAACAUUGAAAUAAUUGUAACAACUCAAGUGCAUGACCCACCCAACCUUGAAGAUGGACAAGGCCUGAUUAUUUAAUAUGAAGAAUACAGAAUCAUUAAAGCGUGAGAAAAGAUUCUGGAAGAGAGAUAAAUAUAUUUUACCUACCUUAGGUUGAAUCCCACCUCCUUUUUUACUUAUUUAUAUAUACUUGAGAAAGUCUUUAAUCUCCUCCUAAAAGAAGUUCUUAGUUAAUUUCUCAGUAAAGGUUAAUUUUCUGCAUGAAAAGGAGUCAAGAGUCUACAAUGGAACAACACAAUAAUUACAAUUUUACAUCAUAGGCAACUGGUUAUAGUUAAUACUUAUUUGUGAGUAGAAUUCAUAGUAUAAACUAUGGAUUUAGUACUUCUUGCCCAAUUAUAGGUUUUAAAGAAUCUUGGGACUAGAGGAGAGUGUUGGCUAGGUUUUUGUCAACUUGACACAGGCUGAAGUCAUCUAAAAGGAGGGAACCUCAAUUAAGAAAAUGCCUCCAUAAGACUGGGAUGUAAGCCUGUGGGACAUUUUCUUAAUUAGUGAUUGAUGAUGGAGGGCCCAACCCAUUGUGUAUGGUGCCAUCCAUGAGCUGAUAGUCCUGGGUUCUAUUUUUUUUUAAAGAGGGGAAAUAAAGCAGCUGAGCAAGCCAUGGGGAGCAAGACAGUAAGCAGCAUCCUUCAUGGCCUCUACAUCAGCUCCUGCCUCCAACUUCCUGCCCUGCUUCAGUUCCGGUUCUCACUGCUUCUGGUGAUGAACUGUUAUAUGGAACUGUGAGUGAAAUAAACUCUUUCCUCCCCAAGUUGCUUUGGUCAUGGUGUUUCAUCACAGCACGAGAAUCCCUAACUUUGACAGAAAAGAACUUAGUGAUGAAGCGCUUGCCUAGCAUGUGUAAACAUCAUGGGUUCAAUCCCCAGCAUAAUAAAUAAACAAAACUUUCAACAUUUGCACAGACCAUUUGGCUCAACAGAUAGGUAUAUUAGUUGCCUGUUGAUAUUUAAUAAAUUGUUCCCAAACCCAGGUAGCUUAAAAAUCAUAAACAUUCAAUAAUAUCUGUGUCUACAGUUGUCUACACAUGGCUUAAAUGCCCAUGUGUCAAGGUUGAGUUAGAGGAGGACCCACCUUAAGCCUGCUCCUGUGUUUGUAGAAAAACCUCAGGUCUUUACAGGCUGUUGGCAGUAAACAGCAGUUCUUAUCUAAAGGAACAGUUUCACGGCCCAGAAACUCGCUCUCCUCCAAAUGAAUGAAAGAGAAAACACUCAAGACAGAAAGAACUGGUAUUUUUUUCUGAACAUUUUUUUAAAACACAUCCUUGGGCUAAGGAGACGGUCCAGGUGGUGAAGUGCUUACAGUACACAUGUGAAACCUCAGUUUCCAUCCCCUGGACCCACAAAAGAACAGAAGCAGCAACAGGCACCUGUAACCUGUAACACCAGGGCUCCUGUGAUGAGAUUGAAGGCAGAGACGGAUGAGUCCCCAGGAGUUUUCAGGCCAACUAGCAUAAGACAAGCCGUGGUGAACAAUAAGACAUUGUUUCAAACAAGGUAAGAGGCAAAGAUCAACGGCUGAGACUGCGAGGUUGUCCUCCAAUCUCCGCAUACACCCUGAGGUAUGCACACACCUUCAUUCCCUCACAGGAAUACACACACACAGAGAAACACACAUCAUACAUACACACACAAGGAUUUAAAAAGUUCUCUGAAGGAAAAGCACCACAGUAGAAUUGAGUAUAAAACCGCAGGAGCAUUCUCCAUACCCACCCCCUUACCACACACACACACACACACACACACACACACACACACACACACACAUCCUCCACCAGAGUGGAAAAUCUGCUCAGUCAAUGAACCCAUAUUCAGACAUCAAGUCCACCCUUUCCCUUGGAGUUUAAUCUCUGGGUUUUGGCAAAUGUGUAACGAUAUGCAUCUAUCACAUCAGCAAAGUCAUUCCAUCACCUACGCCUAUUCCUUCCUCCUACUCCUCUGCAACUGCUGAUCUCAUUGCCAUCUCCACAGUCGGCCUUUUCCCAACUGGCAUGUCAUCUGAAAUCCUUAUCUGAUGAGCUUCUUUCACUUAGCAUGCAUUUAAGCUUGCUUUGUGUUUUACCAUGGCUUUGACAGUUCUCUCAGUGUCUAUUACAGGAUAUGAUUCUGGUGUCUCCAUGAGCCGCAGCGUCGAAAAAUAUCUUUGCUUCCAAAUUUUGGCAAACAACUACUCUGUAAAUGGUAUUCCAUUACUACUGUGACAUUCUGGGCACUGAAAGUCAAUCAAGUUCGUCUACAAAGACACAGGACACGAACAUCAUGAGGGAACAGUCUUGGGGAAGACCCUGGAGUUUUUCCAGCACAAAGGGUGAAACAAAUAUCAACAGCCACCUUGACCCUAUGCAAGCACCAAGCCAGUUAAAGGGGGCCCUUAGAGAACCUCUCCCUGAAAAUGGCCUCAUCUUAGCAACUGCUCUUGACCGUACCCAUUGAGAGCAUUACUAAAGAAACACAUAACUUUUAAACCUUGCCGCCAUUUCCUCUUCCUUUGCAAACAGAGUCUAUUUCUGGCAAAUUUUCUUGAGAUAGCUAAUGCCAUUCAGAAUUUCAAAAGGGAACAUGUCAAGUUGUGUCAUUAUUUCUGUUCUUCACUGUUUGCAACAGAGUGGAACCCAGAACUUGAUACACAGACAACUCCAUAGAGACUGCCUAUAUAUAGGCACUAGAAUAUGCAUAUUAAUUUGGACCUCACAUUUCAAUUUUGUAGGUUAUGGAUGUUGUUUUUCCUCUGCUAGGAUGGAAGUGGAGAAAUCUGGCAUUUUACAGAAUACCUAAACCCCCCAUGUUGGUCCAGAGUUUUGUGGAGGAAGUGUUUGUGUUGCUUUCUUGUAGUGCUGGGGAUAGAACGGAGGACCUUGUGUGUGCUAGGCACACACAUCCCCAACCAAAAAGGAAGUUUGUAAAACAAGAUAUUGAAGGGCAUAGUGAAGCUGUGUGUGUCUAUACAACUUCUCACAGCUAAGUUCCUGAACUCCCUGAAAGCAUCAUUUUUAGCUUAAACUCUCUGGUGGUGAAGAGCUAAGGUGGUUUACCCAAACAAGUUUGAGCUGUAGAUGACAAUGGCAACAUGCCACCACAAGAGGGAGUAAAGAGCCACAGUAACAGCUCAUUCAGUGUGGAUUUGUGUAUUUACUCAUCUACUAUUUAAUUACCCACUCAAAAAGGAUCUCACUCUGUAGCUCAAGGUGGCCUUGAACUCAUUACAAUCCUCCUUUCUCAGUAUUGGAAUUAAAGGUGUGAGCCACCACACCAGGUCAGCAAGUGAUUUUCAAGCUUGACUCCACUAUGGUGGAAAACACAGGUAGCUUCCAUGCCAACCACUCUUGCCCUCUUUCCCCUAAUAACCCAUAAGCUGACAAAAGGUGGGGCCAAUACCUGUUCUUCCUGCUGCAAAGACAGCAGACACAACUGAGAACAGCUGCUUCUGCUGUGUUGCCAGACUGACUCCAGGAAGCAAUGCAGCUAAUAUUCAUUUCCACAGCAGGGGGUUCCUGUCUCCAGGCUGAAGGCGUUCUGCUCUCCGGUAUUUGUCUCUGUCCUCUGAUGUGCCACCAGUGUCUAGAUCACUAGUUUAACCAUUCAGCUGCCUUUGGAGUCUGCCAUCAAGCAAUCGGCUGACAUUUUCUGUCUUUGCUUUGUCUUACCUGGCUGGCUUCAGAUACAACACCCUCCUAAAUGCUGGAAUUACAGGCCUGUCAUAGAGCUCGCCCUGUGCACUAGAUUUCAUCUAGACCAUGUCUUCAAAGAGUUCAAGAACAUUUGCUAAGUGAAAACGUGAAUUUCAUCUGAGCACUGCCAGAGACAGAAAGUAGUCUAGGCAGCGUGGAGGAAAAGACAGGGGUGGAAGCAACCGAAGACCAAGAGGUCUUACAGGGAGGAGGACUGAGAAGGAGGCAAGCCAAGUCUUUUUGGUAUAAAAAUAUCUGCAGGGCUGAAGGAGGGAACAUGCAGCAUGGAGGUCCUGAACAGCACGAUGGCAGAAGCUCUGGGAGACCUUACACUCCACACCCAUGACACCUAGAAUCCUGGAGUCCUCCCACAGGAUUCACAUGGGGGAAGGCUGGUACAAUGCCACAGACUCCUCCUCCUUAGGCCUUUUGCUGUGGGUGCUGCCCCUCUCUCUCAGCAUUCACUUACUGUGGAACACAGCACCCCGACUCUCUGUGUCCCUGCCGUCAGUAACAGGUGUUUCCUAGCUCCAGACCUGCUAAUUACUAAGUCAUGGUCUAUCUUAAAAGCUUCAGCGGAGAGGAUAGCAUCUUAGUGCCUUGUCAUUUCUCAUCUCUGAAUCAAGCCAGAAGAAUGGGGAUUUGAUCAGACCUGUUCUGAAGCUGUGGCAAGACUGGAGCGAUCUCUGCAGGAGCAGAUUGUCUGGAAUGCUGUGGGCUACACCAACACAGUAAAUGAGCACACAGAAAUCAAGGUCCAGUGGUAAAAGUUUAGCCUGGACACAUCCAUUAGGAGGACUUCCAUUGGCAAUGCAUUCCAGCCUUAAACGGAGCAAGGAGAAUACAAAUACUCAACUCUUCAUUGACACUUAGUGUCUGAGUGUGCUUCCCAUGCUGUGAUAAACACCAUGAGCUCAAAGUGACUUGGAGAACAGAGGCUGUAUUCCACUUACUGCUUACCCGAGAGAAGGCGAGUCAGGGACUCAUGGAGACCGGAAGGCACGGCUUGCUUUUUUGUAUAGCUGUCCACAGAUGGCCCUGCACACAGUGAGCUGGGCCCUCCCACAUCCAUCAUCAAACAAGACAUUGCCUCACAGACUUGCUACAGGUCAAUCUGAAGAAGGCAUUUUCUCAAUUGAAAUUCCAUUUUCCCAGAUGACUCAAGUUGACAAAACAAGACAAACAACCCCCUCAAAAAACUAGCCAACACAUUCAGCAAAUAAACAGUAUUUAAGUGUCCCUUUGUCUAUUAGCUUGAAAGAGUCGGUGACUUAAUCUGAGAUAGCACAAUGAAUGUUUAAUAAAUCCAAUGGCUUCUUUCUA